CAUCCAAAAUGAAGGCAGGCACAGAAACUACCCUCUAGUGGUGUCUGUCUGAUGUCCGGCUGG
rfam:Salmo salar isolate Sally breed double haploid chromosome ssa20, whole genome shotgun sequence.